GGGGCGCAGCAGGUGCGAAACCUCCACAAUGUACGAAAGUGCGAUGGGGGAAUCCUAAGUGCUGGCGCAAUGCGUCAGCUUUUCUCGAGUCUAAAUCGCUUGAGGAAUAAGUGGUGGGUAAGACCGCUGCCAGCCGCCGCGGUAAUAGCGGCGCCACAAGUGGCAUCCAUUUAUAUUGGGUUUAAAGCAUCCGUAGCCGGCCUGAUAAGUCUACUGUGAAAUCCUAUAGAAAACUAUAGGGCGUGCGGUAGAAACUAUUACGGCUUGGGACCAGGAGAGGUCAGAGGUACUCCUAGGGUAGCGGUAAAAUGCUGUAAUCCUAGGGGGACCACCUGUGGCGAAGGCGUCUGACUGGAAUGGAUCCGACGGUGAGGGAUGAAAGCUAGGGGAGCGACCCGGAUUAGAUACCCGGUUAGUCCUAGCUGUAAACGAUGCUCACUUGGUAUUGGAAAUCUUUCGUGGAUUUCCAGUGCCGAAGGGAAACCGUUAAGUGAGCCACCUGGGGAGUACGGUCGCAAGGCUGAAACUUAAAGGAANUUGGCGGGGGAGCA
rnacentral:rRNA from 1 species